AACGAACGCUGGCGGCAUGCCUAACACAUGCAAGUCGAACGAGACCUUCGGGUCUAGUGGCGCACGGGUGCGUAACGCGUGGGAACCUGCCCUUAGGUUCGGAAUAACUCCCCGAAAGGGGUGCUAAUACCGGAUAAUGUCUUCGGACCAAAGAUUUAUCGCCUUUGGGUGGGCCCGCGUUGGAUUAGCUAGUUGGUAGGGUAAAAGCCCACCAAGGCGAAGAUCCAUAGCUGGUCUGAGAGGAUGAUCAGCCACACUGGGACUGGGACACGGCCCAAAUCCUCCGGGGGGGGAGGAGGGGGGAAAUUGGGCAACGGGGCGAGAGCUGGACCCCCCAAGGCCGGGGAGUGGUGUAAGGCUUUAGGUUUAAAAGUCUUUUUUCCCGGGGAUGUAAAGACGGUACCCGGUAAAAAAGCCCCGGCUAACUCCGUG
rnacentral:rRNA from 1 species